UACGUAGGGGGCGAGCGUUGUCCGGAAUUAUUGGGCGUAAAGAGCGUGUAGGCGGUUCGGUAAGUCUGCCGUGAAAACCUGAGGCUCAACCUCGGGCGUGCGGUGGAUACUGCCGGGCUAGAGUCCGGAAGAGGAGAGUGGAAUUCCUGGUGUAGCGGUGGAAUGCGCAGAUAUCGGGAGGAACACCCGUGGCGAAGGCGGGUCCCUGGGACGGUACUGACGCUGAGACGCGAAAGCGUGGGGAGCGAACAGGAUUAGAUACCC
rnacentral:rRNA from 1 species